rnacentral:rRNA from 1 species
ACACUCCUACGGGAGGCAGCAGUGGGGAAUAUUGGACAAUGGGCGCAAGCCUGAUCCAGCCAUGCCGCGUGAGUGAUGAAGGCCCUAGGGUUGUAAAGCUCUUUCACCGGUGAAGAUAAUGACGGUAACCGGAGAAGAAGCCCCGGCUAACUUCGUGCCAGCAGCCGCGGUAAUACGAAGGGGGCUAGCGUUGUUCGGAUUUACUGGGCGUAAAGCGCACGUAGGCGGACUAUUAAGUCAGGGGUGAAAUCCCGGGGCUCAACCCCGGAACUGCCUUUGAUACUGGUAGUCUUGAGUUCGAGAGAGGUGAGUGGAAUUCCGAGUGUAGAGGUGAAAUUCGUAGAUAUUCGGAGGAACACCAGUGGCGAAGGCGGCUCACUGGCUCGAUACUGACGCUGAGGUGCGAAAGCGUGGGGAGCAAACAGGAUUAGAUACCCUUGUAGUCCCAU